GACGAACGCUGGCGGCGUGCUUAACACAUGCAAGUCGAACGGAAAGGCCCUGCUUUUGUGGGGUGCUCGAGUGGCGAACGGGUGAGUAACACGUGAGUAACCUGCCCUUGACUUUGGGAUAACUUCAGGAAACUGGGGCUAAUACCGGAUAGGAGCUCCUGCUGCAUGGUGGGGGUUGGAAAGUUUCGGCGGUUGGGGAUGGACUCGCGGCUUAUCAGCUUGUUGGUGGGGUAGUGGCUUACCAAGGCUUUGACGGGUAGCCGGCCUGAGAGGGUGACCGGCCACAUUGGGACUGAGAUACGGCCCAGACUCCUACGGGAGGCAGCAGUGGGGAAUAUUGCACAAUGGGCGGAAGCCUGAUGCAGCAACGCCGCGUGCGGGAUGACGGCCUUCGGGUUGUAAACCGCUUUCGCCUGUGACGAAGCGUGAGUGACGGUAAUGGGUAAAGAAGCACCGGCUAACUACGUGCCAGCAGCCGCGGUGAUACGUAGGGUGCGAGCGUUGUCCGGAUUUAUUGGGCGUAAAGGGCUCGUAGGUGGUUGAUCGCGUCGGAAGUGUAAUCUUGGGGCUUAACCCUGAGCGUGCUUUCGAUACGGGUUGACUUGAGGAAGGUAGGGGAGAAUGGAAUUCCUGGUGGAGCGGUGGAAUGCGCAGAUAUCAGGAGGAACACCAGUGGCGAAGGCGGUUCUCUGGGCCUUUCCUGACCCUGAGGAGCGAAAGCGUGGGGAGCGAACAGGCUUAGAUACCCUGGUAGUCCACGCUGUAAACGGUGGGUACUAGGUGUGGGGUCCAUUCCACGGGUUCCGUGCCGUAGCUAACGCUUUAAGUACCCCGCCUGGGGAGUACGGCCGCAAGGCUAAAACUCAAAGGAAUUGACGGGGCCCCGCACAAGCGGCGGAGCAUGCGGAUUAAUUCGAUGCAACGCGUAGAACCUUACCUGGGUUUGACAUGGAUCGGGAGCGCUCAGAGAUGGGUGUGCCUCUUUUGGGGUCGGUUCACAGGUGGUGCAUGGCUGUCGUCAGCUCGUGUCGUGAGAUGUUGGGUUAAGUCCCGCAACGAGCGCAACCCUUGUUCACUGUUGCCAGCACGUUAUGGUGGGGACUCAGUGGAGACCGCCGGGGUCAACUCGGAGGAAGGUGGGGAUGACGUCAAGUCAUCAUGCCCCUUAUGUCCAGGGCUUCACGCAUGCUACAAUGGCUGGUACAGAGAGUGGCGAGCCUGUGAGGGUGAGCGAAUCUCGGAAAGCCGGUCUCAGUUCGGAUUGGGGUCUGCAACUCGACCUCAUGGAGUCGGAGUCGCUAGUAAUCGCAGAUCAGCAACGCUGCGGUGAAUACGUUCCCGGG
rnacentral:rRNA from 1 species